rnacentral:rRNA from 1 species
GAUGAACGCUGGCGGCGUGCCUAAUACAUGCAAGUCGAGCGAAUAGACGAGGAGCUUGCUCCUCUGACGUUAGCGGCGACCGGGUGAGAACCACGUGGAAAACCUACCUAUAAGACUGGGAUAACUUCGGAAAACCGGUGCUAUUACCGGAUAAUAUAUUGAACCGCAUGGUUCAAUAGUGAAAGACGGUUUUGCUGUCACUUAUAGAUGGAUCCGCGCCGCAUUAGCUAGUUGGUAAGGUAACGGCUUACCAAGGCAACGAUGCGUAGCCGACCUGAGAGGGUGAUCGGCCACACUGGAACUGAGACACGGUCCAGACUCCUACGGGAGGCAGCAGUAGUGAAUCUUCCGCAAUGGGCGAAAGCCUGACGGAGCAACGCCGCGUGAGUGAUGAAGGUCUUCGGAUCGUAAAACUCUGUUAUUAGGGAAGAACAAAUGUGUAAGUAACUAUGCACGUCUUGACGGUACCUAAUCAGAAAGCCACGGCUAACUACGUG